rnacentral:rRNA from 1 species
AGUGAACGCUGGCGGUAGGCCUAACACAUGCAAGUCGAACGGCAGCACAGUAAGAGCUUGCUCUUACGGGUGGCGAGUGGCGGACGGGUGAGGAAUACAUCGGAAUCUACUUUUUCGUGGGGGAUAACGUAGGGAAACUUACGCUAAUACCGCAUACGACCUACGGGUGAAAGCAGGGGAUCUUCGGACCUUGCGCGAUUGAAUGAGCCGAUGUCGGAUUAGCUAGUUGGCGGGGUAAAGGCCCACCAAGGCGACGAUCCGUAGCUGGUCUGAGGGGAUGAUCAGCCACACUGGAACGGAGACACGGUCCAGACUCCUACGGGAGGCAGCAGUGGGGAAUAUUGGACAAUGGGCGCAAGCCUGAUCCAGCCAUACCGCGUGGGUGAAGAAGGCCUUCGGGUUGUAAAGCCCUUUUGUUGGGAAAGAAAAGCAGCAGGUUAAUACCCCGCUGUUCUGACGGUACCCAAAGAAUAAGCACCGGCUAACUUCGUG